rnacentral:lncRNA from 1 species
UAUCCUUACAGGAGGUAAAUUGGAUUAAGUACAUUUGUGAGAUAUUCCCUGCUUCAUCAGGCCCUGUGCAGUGGCUCAUGCUUGCAAUCCUUUCACUUUGGAGGCUGAGGUAAACAUCAAAGACAAUGCUGUUUUGAUCAUUGAGUUCAGUUAAGAAUCAAAAGGCAAAGCAUGGUGGGUGGAAUUUCAACUUUUUAAAUAGAAUAGACUUAGGCAAACA